AUUGACAGGAUUCUGACGAAUUGUCGUUUUGACGAAUGAAACAUUUGAAGACCGAAACGUAACGCUUGUUUCGCUGUUCAUAAGUAUGAAGACACGAUUUAAUUUAAUACAAAAUGUACAAGUACAUACAUACAUACGUCCGUAAAUCCACUCGUUGCAGAAGAUAACGUAGAUAAUGGUAAAUUCUGAGGUAAGAGAAGCGUGUAGAUCGAGAUGUGAAACAAAAUCCCGAGUCAAGUAACAGCAAAUAUAAUAGAGAAGUGACUAACGAAUUUCAAAAUUUGUUAUAGAAACAAUAGAGAAACGUAGUAAAUAUUAACAAGAGGGAAUGAAGCUUGUUAUCACAAGGGUGUUCUGAUCUAUUUGACUGCUCCGACAUACAAUUUAGGUCGUCAAAAUGGCCACAACACCAGAACCACUGUAACUAUAACACGAACUAUAACAUCGCCGAUCGCAAGGAUCUGUCAUAACAAUCCCGAGACUAAGAGCAUAAACUUUACGCUACCAGCGUGCAUCUUUUGUGUUAUAAUUCAUUCGCGUGUUGUAAUCCAACGAGAAGUACGCUGUCCACCAACAGGAAAGAGUUUAGCAGAGAUGUUUUAUUCAUCUGUUUAAUCAACAAUUAAGAUUAAGAUACAUCUCGUGCCACAUCAAAGGUGUAACAUCAAGUAGGUGCCCUUGAAGUACUAGCGUGAUUUGAUUUCCAUCUUUCUUUUUCGCUCGUUAAAACGUGCGGCUUCCAGCGACUCUCGAGUGUUACUUGAUUUUGUAAAAAAGAGAUACCAUAAUAAAUAUGUACAAAGAAGUGUGAGGAAGGGAUGGUAGAAUAGUAAAGCAGGGUAAAAGCUAUCGUUGACUGCACUUGUAAUUCAAAUUUUCUGUUCCGGAGCGCAAGAUGCGUCAAUGUUGGCGAAAAGACAGAGCGAGAGAGAAAGAGAAAUAACUUAAUUAACUGGUUCCGGUGUGCGCGAGAAUCGUUCGUAAAAUCCGUAAAGCGAGAGAAAGAAGUAGAGCGGUGAGCUUAUUCAACUCCGUAAAACUGUUUAUUCAUAAAAGUAUUUUCAUAAGCAGCACCUCGCUUAGCGAAAAAAGAAGUCAUUGCCGCUAAAUGCGGCGUGAAAGCGACACACGGACACUAGUCUCUGAUUUUUCAGGGACACGUUUGAUCUCGUCACUCGGAGAUUAACCUAUCUCUGACGUAUCUACCAGUGGUUACCAACGUGAAUAUAAAUAUAUAUAUAUAGCUAACGGUGUCGCGCGACACACGCGUAACCCUCACAAGCUGACCGGCACGUGUCGAGACAAGGCGGUUAGUUGAAAGCGUCGGAUAGAAAGGCAGACAGAAAAGAGAAAGACGGGUAGAACCAGAGAAUAAAGGGCCGAGGGGUGGGGUUAGAAUUAUACGUGCCCCGAGGAAAACUCAAUUCGCGGCCACUUUGACGCACCCUCCAUCUGGGUGGAUCGUCGGAUAGGCGCUGAUACAAAUCCACAAGAUAUAUUCCUUCUUCUUCCUUCUCCUCUCUAUAACCAUAGUCUGUGCCCUCUCCUUUUCUCUCUCUCAUCAGAGCACAUAGCCGUAGUAGUUUAUCCUGCUUUCUACCCCACUGGUGUACACCCGUGCACGUGCAGAUACUCAUUCGUACACACCGACAGGCCUCGCAGACACGUGCGUGGACCGGCAACAAUUCCUAACCAAAAAGCCGGAGUCACCCUCGCCUCUUCCCCUCUUGCCCCUCGCACGGGAGUGUCUGGCUGCGACCGUCAUCGGCGGGGCAUCGAGAUGCGGGGAAGUAAGAGGGGAAAACACCCGGCACAGUGGCGAGCGGCAAGAGAGGAGUGGGAACACAGACCGACAGUGGCACAGGGGGGAAGCUACGUACUCGUGACGUUGCGUCUAGACGCCCCCUCCACCUCAACCCGAAACGACGUCCACACAACGAGCGCCGAGCCAGCGCAGCGCCGAGGAACAUCUCUCGGUUUUCUCCGCCUCUCGUUGAUUCUUGGUUUGAGAAAGUGACGGUGACCGGUGUAUUCUGUGGUGGCUACGUUGAUGAUUAUUUUGGAAGAACGACGACGAUUUUUCGUUUUGGAACGCCAGACCCCGUGUAAGACGACGACUGGUAAGGUUAAAAUUUUUAUCUCAGUUGUAUCGUUGCAUAUAUUAGUACUGAAUGUUUUAUCGUAGAUGCAACGUUUAACGAUAUCGAUGACAGAUUAAUUUUAUUAUUCUUAUCGCGUUUUAUCGUGAUUCAUGAUUCAUCCGAGCAAACGGUGCAUACAAGCGUUUUAUCAGGGAUCAUGGCUCGUGAGUCAGGAAAGGUUAGGCGGGAUUUAAGAGCGGCGUAUCCUUAAGUUUACGUUCUUACGCAUGCGUUUAAAUUAGGAAUGGCAUUUAAGGCCAUUCCUGAACUUUAUUAUCGUUUAAUCGCGACGGUAUACACACAUACGCGCUUUUAAUCGCGUACACGCGUAUAUAAGCAUUAAACACGCAUACGUGCAUGGACGUGCAAAGACACGAGAGAGUAGAUGUGCAUCGUUGAAUUUUUAUGGACUGAGGGGAGCGAUGCGAGACAGACGUUUCAUGGCCUUGAAGAUCCGCGGCCAGCGAUAGGGGCAUAGUUCUUUUGUGAAAAAUAAUUUUAGUCGUGAACCGUCGUUUCCACCGGCAAACGUGCAAGCUAAUUAAUUUUCUACGGAUCGUAUACCGUGUUUGACGCGGGAAACCGAGGACCGGAUUUCUAAAUCCACCUUUAGAAUCAUAACAUCGAAUUUCAUCAUGGGAAUUUUAGAAGACGGUCUACUGAAAGACUAUAGAACUCAUUUUAGGCUAUUUCGAGAAGCGGUUAAAAGCAGAUAAUUUAUGGGUAAUUGUUAUUUGUCUGGAUUGGGGUUAAGUAAAACCCUUGCAUGAAACUGAUAACUUGUUUUAAGGUGUCUUAAAUCGAAAUGAUUAAAUCGAGCGGGGCUCUUUUGCACAAUAAUUUUUAAUAUACGUAUAUAUAUAUAUAUAGGUAUUGAGC